rnacentral:hammerhead_ribozyme from 1 species
AUUCGGCUGAGGAAUCCUAAAUAAAACGAAAUGCGCGUUCUGGAU